rnacentral:rRNA from 1 species
AUUGAACGCUGGCGGCAGGCCUAACACAUGCAAGUCGAGCGGCAGCGGGAAAGUAGCUUGCUACUUUUGCCGGCGAGCGGCGGACGGGUGAGUAAUGCCUGGGGGUCUGCCCAGUCGAGGGGGAUAACUACUGGAAACGGUAGCUAAUACCGCAUACGCCCUACGGGGGAAAGCAGGGGACCUUCGGGCCUUGCGCGAUUGGAAUAACCCGGGUGGGAUUAGCUAGUUGGUGAGGUAAUGGCUCACCAAGGCGACGAUCCCUAGCUGGUCUGAGAGGAUGAUCAGCCACACUGGAACUGCGACACGGUCCAGACUCCUACGGGAGGCAGCAGUGGGGAAUAUUGCACAAUGGGGGAAACCCUGAUGCAGCCAUGCCGCGUGUGUGAAGAAGGCCUUCGGGUUGUAAAGCACUUUCAGCGAGGAGGAAAGGUUGGUAGCUAAUAACUGCCAGCUGUGACGUUACUCGCAGAAGAAGCACCGGCUAACUCCGUGCCAGCAGCCGCCGUAAUAC